CUUGACCAGCACAGGACCCUCAGUCUGAUGAGUGGCUGGUGAAGCCUAGAAAACGGUCCCUUCCUCCUCAGCACUGAGAUUGCAAACGGAGAACAACAGUGGCCAUGUUGAUCUAGGGGAAUAAGCUGCCAGGAGUGGAAGGAUGCCGAAGCUCUCACUCUACAGUUGCCAAAGAGCAGACAGCAUUCCUCAGUUUUAUCCAGAUAUCUGCUUAUGUUUAUGACGGAUAAUUUUGGUUUAUGACUGAGACUGUAAGGGGUGCCAGCUUUCCCUCUUUCCCUCUCAAGUUGUGUCUUCCAUCCCUGGGCUCCUCCUUCAAAUAAAGGCGGAUGACACACAACUUCUCAACUCUCCUAAUGAUAACAGGCCUUAGGGAGAACUCAAGGCGGUCACCAUACAAUU
rnacentral:lncRNA from 1 species